UGCAUUGUUCGACUCCGUGAGAACGAGUCACACGACGACUGCCUGUCCACACAGACACUCCUUGUAGCAGUACUCGACGACUUCAAAUGCAUUGAAAAAGCCGCUGCCCGUGACUUCACUGCGGUGAACUUUUACCUCUUUAAGAAAGAAAUGAAGAAGGCAGCGGAUCUUGAGAUCAUAGAUAGACUGAGUGGAGCCGUCAGUAGGAGAUUCAUAGUGGCAUGGAAAAAUAACAGGCAACUGAGAUUCAAAGUGGACUAUACACCUAGUAAUUCAGAAGAAACAGUGAAGUGCAGUUGUGAUAGUAUGAAACGUAAAGGUCUUCCAUGCAAGCAUGUUCUUUAUGUUUUAGCUAGGUUGAACGUGCAGGACUUACCUAGGUGCUUAGUG
rnacentral:rRNA from 1 species